rnacentral:rRNA from 1 species
UACGUAGGGGGCAAGCGUUGUCCGGAAUUAUUGGGCGUAAAGAGCGCGCAGGCGGUCUAUCAAGUCAGAUGUGAAAUAUCCCGGCUUAACCGGGAGGGGUCAUUUGAAACUGGUAGACUAGAGUACAGCAGAGGAUAGCGGAAUUCCCGGUGUAGUGGUGAAAUGCGUAGAUAUCGGGAGGAACACCAGUGGCGAAGGCGGCUAUCUGGGCUGAAACUGACGCUGAGGCGCGAAGGCUAGGGGAGCAAACAGG